rnacentral:rRNA from 1 species
GACGAACGCUGGCUGCGUGCCUAACACAUGCAAGUCGAACGGGGGUUGCAAUACCCCAGUGGCGAACGGGUGCGUAACGCGUGAGGGACAUCCACUCCUGUGGGGGACAGCCGGCCUAACGGCCGGGUAACACCUCAUACGCUGUUCGGGGUGCCUCCCCCGGAUCGGAACGCAGCAAUGCGCCGGAGCGGUGCCUCGCGGCCUAGCAGCAAGUCGGUGAGGUAACGUCUCACCAAGGCGACGACGGGUAGCUGGUGUGAGAGGAUGGCCAGCCACAUUGAGACUGAGACACGGCCCAGACUCCUACGGGAGGCAGCAGUGGGGAAUCUUGCGCAAUGGGCGAAAGCCUGACGCAGCGACGCCGCGUGUGGGAUGACGGCCUUCGGGUUGUAAACCACUGUCGGGAGGGACGAAGCUCUGACGGUACCUCCAAAGGAAGCACCGGCUAACUCUGUGCCAGCCGCCGCAGUAAGAC